rnacentral:rRNA from 1 species
UGCAGUCGAGCGAACAGAUAAGGAGCUUGCUCCUUUGACGUUAGCGGCGGACGGGUGAGUAACACGUGGGUAACCUACCUAUAAGACUGGAAUAACUCCGGGAAACCGGGGCUAAUGCCGGAUAACAUUUAGAACCGCAUGGUUCUAAAGUGAAAGAUGGUUUUGCUAUCACUUAUAGAUGGACCCGCGCCGUAUUAGCUAGUUGGUAAGGUAACGGCUUACCAAGGCAACGAUACGUAGCCGACCUGAGAGGGUGAUCGGCCACACUGGAACUGAGACACGGUCCAGACUCCUACGGGAGGCAGCAGUAGGGAAUCUUCCGCAAUGGGCGAAAGCCUGACGGAGCAACGCCGCGUGAGUGAUGAAGGUCUUCGGAUCGUAAAACUCUGUUAUUAGGGAAGAACAAAUGUGUAAGUAACUGUGCACGUCUUGACGGUACCUAAUCAGAAAGCCACGGCUAACUACGUGCCAGCAGCCGCGGUAAUACGUAGGUGGCAAGCGUUAUCCGGAAUUAUUGGGCGUAAAGCGCGCGUAGGCGGUUUCUUAAGUCUGAUGUGAAAGCCCACGGCUCAACCGUGGAGGGUCAUUGGAAACUGGGAAACUUGAGUGCAGAAGAGGAAAGUGGAAUUCCAUGUGUAGCGGUGAAAUGCGCAGAGAUAUGGAGGAACACCAGUGGCGAAGGCGACUUUCUGGUCUGUAACUGACGCUGAUGUGCGAAAGCGUGGGGAUCAAACAGGAUUAGAUACCCUGGUAGUCCACGCCGUAAACGAUGAGUGC